rnacentral:lncRNA from 1 species
UUCAGAAUCCAGAAUCAGAAUUGGAGUGAUAGAACUUUGUUCCCAGUCAACCCACUCACAACAACAGACCUCUCUGUUCUACAGUAAAGUAAUGUGGUCCCUUGACUAUUCUGCUGCUAAUGAAUGGAUUGGACAGAAAAGCAAUGGAAGGGCCGAUACAACUCUCACAACAGUCCAACUCUUUUCUGCCAGAUUGGCUUAAAAAAAAAGGCAGCUGAUCAUGGCAAAUCAAGUUAGCCAAUACCUGUAUUGUCUGCCUGAAUUAUAAAGCAUAACAGUACAUCCUUUUCUCUUGCAGUCCUUUAUUAAAAGAAAGAGGAAGAGGAAGUAUUGGACCAUGCCUAUAAUAGACAAAAUAACUAGAAAACCUUCUACACUACCCACUGGAACUUGUCAUUUGCACACUGACACAGUAAUGAUUACUCUCAAAGUUAGAUACAAUAUCACCCCCUCUUCCCCUCAUUGCUUAGACACAGCUAAGCAGUGACUCUCAGAGGCAGUGGGAUGAGGACAUGGCCUUGCCAGCUGAUGCUCAGAAAGACCAAACACUUAACUACACAUAAAUAGCUCAUGAACCUACCUUUCCC